CCUACGGGAGGCAGCAGUGGGGAAUAUUGGACAAUGGGCGAAAGCCUGAUCCAGCCAUGCCGCGUGUGUGAAGAAGGCCUUCGGGUUGUAAAGCACUUUCAGUGGGGAAGAAAGCCUUGGGGCUAAUACCCUCGAGGAAGGACAUCACCCACAGAAGAAGCACCGGCUAACUCCGUGCCAGCAGCCGCGGUAAUACGGAGGGUGCGAGCGUUAAUCGGAAUUACGGGGCGUAAAGCGCGCGUAGGCGGUCUGAUAAGCCGGUUGUGAAAGCCCCGGGCUCAACCUGGGAACGGCAUCCGGAACUGUCAGGCUAGAGUGCAGGAGAGGAAGGUAGAAUUCCCGGUGUAGCGGUGAAAUGCGUAGAGAUCGGGAGGAAUACCAGUGGCGAAGGCGGCCUUCUGGACUGACACUGACGCUGAGGUGCGAAAGCGUGGGUAGCAAACAGGAUUAGAUACCCGUGUAGUC
rnacentral:rRNA from 1 species